GACGAACGCUGGCGGCGUGCUUAACACAUGCAAGUCGAACGGAAAGGCCCUGCUUUUGUGGGGUGCUCGAGUGGCGAACGGGUGAGUAACACGUGAGUAACCUGCCCUUGACUUUGGGAUAACUUCAGGAAACUGGGGCUAAUACCGGAUAGGAGCUCCUGCUGCAUGGUGGGGGUUGGAAAGUUUCGGCGGUUGGGGAUGGACUCGCGGCUUAUCAGCUUGUUGGUGGGGUAGUGGCUUACCAAGGCUUUGACGGGUAGCCGGCCUGAGAGGGUGACCGGCCACAUUGGGACUGAGGUACGGCCCAGACUCCUACGGGAGGCAACAGGGGGGAAUAUUGCACAAUGGGCGGAAGCCUGAUGCAGCAACGCCGCGUGCGGGAUGACGGCCUUCGGGUUGUAAACCGCUUUCGCCUGUGACGAAGCGUGAGUGACGGUAAUGGGUAAAGAAGCACCGGCUAACUACGUG
rnacentral:rRNA from 1 species